rnacentral:rRNA from 1 species
GAUGAACGCUGGCGGCGUGCCUAAUACAUGCAAGUCGAGCGAACAGACGAGGAGCUUGCUCCUCUGUCGUUAGCGGCGGACGGGUGAUUAACACGUGGAUAACCUACCUAUAAGACUGGGAUAACUUUGGGAAACCGGAGCUAAUACCGGAUAAUAUAUUGAACCGCAUGGUUCAAUAGUGAAAGACGGUUUUGCUGUCACUUAUAGAUGGAUCCGCGCCGCAUUAGCUAGUUGCUAAGGUAACGGCUUACCAAGGCAACGAUGCGUAGCCGACCUGAGAGGGUGAUCGGCCACACGGGAACUGAGACACGGUCCAGACUCCUACGGGAGGCAGCAGUAGGGAAUCUUCCGCAAUGGGCGAAAGCCUGACGGAGCAACGCCGCGUGAGUGAUGAAGGUCUUCGGAUCGUAAAACUCUGUUAUUAGGGAAGAACAAAUGUGUAAGUAACUAUGCACGUCUUGACGGUACCUAAUCAGAAAGCCACGGCUAACUACGUG